CAUCGCCUCUUGCUCCAAAAAUAUAAGAGGUCCCGCCUGCCCUGUGACUAUAAGUUUAACGGCCGCGGUAUUUUAACCGUGCGAAGGUAGCGUAAUCACUUGUCUUUUAAAUGAAGACCUGUAUGAAUGGCAUCACGAGGGCUUAGCUGUCUCCCAUCUCCAGUCAAUGAAAUUGACCUCCCCGUGCAGAGGCGGGGAUGAUUACAUAAGACGAGAAGACCCUAUGGAGCUUUAGACCUAAAGUAAGUCACGUUUAACAUGCUGUGAUAACAGUAAAAACUUAGUGAUAUUUACUGAAGUGUCUUUGGUUGGGGCGACCGCGGGGUAAAACACAACCCCCAUGUGGACCGGGGAUAUUAUCCCUAAUACUCAGAGCCUCUACUCCAAGUAACAGAAAUUCUGACUUUUCUGAUCCGGUAUAACCGAUCAACGAACCGAGUUACCCUAGGGAUAACAGCGCAAUCCCCUCUCAGAGCCCAUAUCGACGAGGGGGUUUACGACCUCGAUGUUGGAUCAGGACAUCCUAAUGGUGCAGCCGCUAUUAAGGGUUCGUUUGUUCAACGAUUAAAGUCCUACGUGA
rnacentral:rRNA from 1 species